AAGUCGUAACAAGGUUUCCGUAGGUGAACCUGCGGAAGGAUCAUUACCGAAGUAUAGGCCCUUUUAUAGGGCUGAACUUCCACCCUUUGUUUACCAUUCUUUGUUGCUUUGGCGAGACGUCUUCGGACCACCGGCUCUCGGGCUGGUGAGCGCUCGCCAGAGGAAAAUCAAACCCAAACCUUUUUUAGUGUUGUCUGAGAAACAAGUUUAAUUAUUAAAACUUUCAACAACGGAUCUCUUGGCUCUG
rnacentral:misc_RNA from 1 species